rfam:Parcubacteria bacterium GW2011_GWA1_60_11 TZ00_C0003, whole genome shotgun sequence.
UGGGAGAUCGUCUAAUGGUAGGACGGAGGCCUUUGAAGCCUUUAAUCCAGGUUCGAAUCCUGGUCUCCCAG